AGAUUGAACGCUGGCGGCAUGCCUUACACAUGCAAGUCGAACGGCAGCACGGGAGCAAUCCUGGUGGCGAGUGGCGAACGGGUGAGUAAUACAUCGGAACGUGCCCAAUCGUGGGGGAUAACGCAGCGAAAGCUGUGCUAAUACCGCAUAAGAUCUACGGAUGAAAGCAGGGGAUCGCAAGACCUUGCGCGAAUGGAGCGGCCGAUGGCAGAUCAGGUAGUUGGUGAGGUAACGGCCCACCAAGCCUACGACGGGUA
rnacentral:rRNA from 1 species